rnacentral:rRNA from 1 species
UUCCCGGGCCUUGUACACACCGCCCGUCACACCAUGGGAGUGGGUUGUACCAGAAGUAGAUAGCUUAACCGCAAGGGGGGCGUUUACCACGGUAUGAUUCAUGACUGGGGUGAAGUCGUAACAAGGUAACCGUAGGGGAACCUGCGGUUGGAUCACCUCCUUACC